UGCAUCGGCCGGGAAUCGAACCCGGGGCGCCCGCGUGGCAGGCGAGCAUUCUACCACUAAGCCACCUAUGC
rnacentral:tRNA from 1 species